GGUUUCUACUGUUGCAAGAAUAUUACAUGAAACUGGAUGUCCGUGAAGCACAUGAAAAAGAGCUUGGCUUAUGGCUACUUCUCUCCUCUGACUACAUCAAAUUCAAGAAAAUACCCAGGAGUACUAAACUCCCUUAUAAUCAUCCAAGGAAACAACAAACAGCAAUGGAUUUCAAACUACUGGGCGAAUUGUCACUUCAUAAAAUGGUGGAGUGAGGAUAAAAAACACCAUUUAUCAUGUGGUGAGGAACUGCAGUAAAAGCUUAAGUUUACCUUUGAAGCCAGAAUUACUGAUGUUAUCAAUAUCUACAAGUUCAAAUCUGAUGUAGCAAACAAAUGCAAGUCUGCUUCUACUACAGUAAGGUCAGCCAGGAUCCAAGCCACACAUCAGGCAGCUCCCACACAGCACUGUACACCUUUAGUAUCCUAGUAGGAUAGGGGCAAAUAGUCACUAAUUGAAUUCACAGUUGCCCUUUACUCAGAUAUGCUCAGAUGACAGAUGAAUUUGCAUUAGUUUAAUGUGAAUCACCAUGGAUAAUGGAAAACAAUACUUAUGCUAAUGAGAGAGCGGAGCAAAAGCUUUGCAAAUGAGUUGCUAUUUGUUCACCAGCCGGGGUGCUGCUGAUUAGAAACAGGAGUGUGAUUGAUAGCUCCAGCCACCUCUGCUUCUGGCAUGCCACCUCUGUCGGGCAUCCCCACAGCACCCUUAUUUCUCUCACAGCACCCUUAUUUCUCUCAUAACACCCUUAUUUCUCUCCCAGCACCCUUAUUUCCCCAGCACUUCCCACCCCAUGAGGGCAGCCCCGCAGUGGAGAGGCGACCCCACCUCAGGGAGGAGCACAUGGAGGCCAAGGGACCAUGAGGGCAAGGGGAGCACAGCUGAGGGAAGCCCCCACACUCACCAGCACCUUCCCAAGAAGGCAGAGUUGAUCUUUCAACCUGCUUAUUUCUCUCUCCUGCACCCACGAGCCUCAGGCCCUACGCGGCCGCCAUUUUAGGCCUUAAACAGGGUGCGCGCACAGCUGGAGGAGGAGGGAAGCACAUGGUGAAGGCGUCAAAGAGGGGGAGAUAGCAUGUGAGGAACUGCCCAUGCCUGGCUCCCUGCACGACAACAGUUCCUUGCCAGCUUGGGAAGGACAAUGUGAUGACUUUUAGGGGAAAAAGAAUGAUAAUAAUAAUACCUCCUUGAGUUUUGGGGUGUUUUUUUACCACACGGCGACGCCCAGGCCUUUGUUUUCUCUCAGAAGUCACCGCCCCUGAGGAAGGCCGAGGGUGGCUUUUCCAUGGGGUGGCAGCAUGGAGAUGCAGGAGGAGUUCAGGAGAGCCUGGUAUAUUGAAGAUAAUGAUCCUGCUUCUGAAUGGGAGAUAAGAGAGAGACAAAGACAGAGCUGCUGGCUUUUAAGUCGCAUGAAAAGCUUCAGAUACUACAGCGAUGAGGACCGUAUAUGAAGACAGAGCUGUGCCGUAACUGGUAGGAGAGAGAGCAAUGUAAUAACUUUGAUACAAACAGUGACCUUCUCAGCAUUAAGCAUACUGCAUGAUGGUACAGAAAUAAGGCUUAAGAUGCAGGUUCACAAAGGUGACAAACUGAUACUGAAUUCAGGCAGCACUGGAGUAUCUAAAUACCUUUGUAGAUAUGGACAUAAAUGCCUUAUUUGAUAGGAGUUAACACGACUGGAAAAGCGAAGCAUUAGCACAAGUGGAACAUGCUCUGUUUGAGGUUGUGUCUCUGCUUUCCACUGUACCUGCCAUUUUGUAUUACGGGUUGCAUGUGUUACCAGCCUUGCCCCAGGCAAGGUUAAUGAAUUGCAGUUCCUCUGAUCUGCCCAGCUGCAGAGAGCUGCACCAUAUCUCGUUGAAGGAUCAUCACUGGGAAGCUAUCAUGUGGCGGUCUGGAGCCAUCGGCUUUGAUUGUUUCUCAGUGGUUGGCCAGAAGCCACAGUCAAUAGAUUUGCAAUGCAGGGAUGCCAGCGUGGCGGGUGUCUCGGUUGCUUCUCAGCCCUGCACAUGGCAAAAGGCUGAACAGAGCAGGGAAGCCAAAAACUGCCAGCUGGAAGCAGGGCGGUGCAGGAGAGAGGGCAAACAGGCUGCUGCCAAGCCUUAAUGCCCAUAAAGCUCAGGGUCACAAAUGGAGACUAUUAAUACAGAUUAUCAGAUAGUUUCCAUCUUCUUUCCAUUUGUUUCCAAUAUUUCCUAGUUUCUAUCUCCUGUAAGAGCAAAAUUGGCAGAGCUGUCAGGUCUCCUCUUACCACACCACUGGUCAGAUCGUGUAUGAAUCUGGAGCAAGGAAGCAACCAUAGCAAUUUUACCAGCAUUUUACCUAGCUUAUGCCAAGUCUGGUGUGCAAAGGACUUGUUUAAUGACUCUGCCAUCCUUUCCCAUACAGAGAGGGAGAAGCAUUCUCAUUUAAUAUUAAUCUCCUCUCCAUGGAUUCAGGCUGCUUCUGACACUGUAUCAAUUAUUAAAACUAGUUUAAAAAUUUCCCAGGAUUAAAGAGAUUAGUUUUUUGUUGAUUUUGGUAAUUCCUCCUGCUUUUGCAUCUCUGAGGCUGUGAGUGCAACACAGCUACUGGGUUCCUGUUUGCUUAGAGUUCACCCUAUUCACAGGCAAAAUGAAAAUUUCAUUUCCAUUUAUAAUUGCCAAGCUCAUGCAUGAGUUGUAAGCAGCUCCAACAGACUGGAUGUUGCUAAAGCAAUUGAAGACCUUUUAGGUGACAAUAUUAGGUGAGCAUCACUUGUACAUUACCCGUGGAAAAUUAAUUGUAUGUGCGUACAGUUAGGGUCUUUCUAUAGAAUUUUACAUUAUGAAAGUAAAUUUAAAAGGGAGAACAACAUUUGCAGUUUUCCUCUGUGAUGGCGUGCACUUCCCAUCUGCAUAAUGUAGAUGUUCUCUUUCAGCAGGCAGUGGAGGUUACUCCAUGGUCAGAUCAAAGAACCUCAUGUGCUACUGUCCCAAAUUUAAAGAAUGCCUAAAGAACACCAGUUGUCCCCUGCGCAGUGUAACUUCAUUAGCUGUGGAAGAACAGCUUGCCUGCUCCAGACUACCUGUUUCAGUCUGUUCUAGACUACAAGUUAAAGUCAGAACUGCAAGUGGCACUUAAGAAAAUCUAGAAAAAAAGGAUUAAAAAAGAAUAAUCAAAGUGCUUUAAGCAUCAAAAAGCAAACAGAUCUCUGAAAUAUCGGUGAAGCCCCACAAAAAAUUCAAUCCCAGCAUUAUCUGUUUUCCAUUGAAUCAUUAAUUCAUUGUUUUGUUUUUUUUUACUACCAGGUAAAGCAAACUCCUUAAAUGGGAUCUUUCACUGGGUCUUCCCUUUGCUAAGCAAUACUGCCUGAACAGUCCUACUCAUCACUCCAGCUAACUGGAAUAUUUGUGGCUUCCUUUAAUAUUCCGUAAGUGUACCUUUUCCUUAAUUAACUGGUCAGACAAUCUUGCUUAACAAAAGGAAUACCCAGUGAAAUUCAUAUGUAAAAGCAAGUUUCUAUAAUUACAAAUUAAUCAGGAAAAAUCCUCAGUAAUCUUUUCUCACUAAAUAUUUCCUGCUAGAAAGAAUCAGAUGGCCCAUUAUUUUUCUUUCCAACUGUUUCAUGCCGCAUGAUAGACUUUAUCAAUCAGCCCCAGAAACCAAUCUUCUCCCAGUCUCCAGCACAGUCAUCAUCAAUCAAAUGUGUAAGCAAUGGCGCUAGAGCCUCAUCACAGCCUUUUCUUUGCUAGCAAGCGUCACAGCUCAGGGAGAGAGGUGGAGAUGCACAUUUCAAAUAUCCAUCAUUCUCUCCUGCAGAGGAAGGAUGGUGGGAGGAGAGGAGAGAGAGAUCACAUGUGUUAAAAUGUUUUAUAUUUGGUGUUAGUGUCUCUGGCUAGAAACUGAUAAGCAGCAGGAGUUGAGAGCACAGAGAGAGUCUGGCAUGAAUGGUGUGUGUGGGAGGAAGGUCAGGAAGGGAGGAAAACAAAUGUCUUGUUGUUACUACCAUUAUUUGUAUUAUAGAGGUACUACCGACCUCUUAGAUUGCACAUUCUGUCCUCCUAAACACCUUUAUAAAAGUCAGGAUCAUUAUCUUUGUUUUCUGAGUGGAGAAAUUGAGAAAGGUUUGACUUGCAGAAGGUAAGCAGGCCCCCAAGAGGGGGGAGAAAAGAGCUCAAGUUUUUUGACAUCUAGACCAGCACUCUGUUCCCUGGCUCACAUUGCCUUCCCCCUUCCAGGAGAGGGUGAAUCUGAGAUCAGGGUCUCGCUGGGCAGACGGAUGGUGGAAUCAGCACUGGUACAAGACAGCUUUCCCAAAGGUCCCAGCCUUCUUUCCAUUUCCUAAGCUCUCUGUCAUUGUAGGUCAUUAAUUGUCAGAUGGUUUUCCAUCUUCAACCUUUAUUUUGUGUUUCAUAUGCACAUACAAGAAAUUUGUUCCAGGUUCACAUCACUGCGGUAUGAGCCCUAGAGAAGUGCAGGUGCUUCUUUAAAUGUAUUUCAUUUCAUAAGAUCGAGGAAAGAAGAAAGAAGAAAACAAAUAUCAGAAUGCUUGUCCUGUACUGAUUAUUUCUUAUGUUUGUUUCACACUUCAUUGAUUUCACUUGAAUUGUUCCUAAUUUACACAAAUGAACAAUAAGAUUUAAGUCUUCUGGGUCUGUUUUUCUACCCGUUUUUACAGACUUUAUAUCUGCAAAUCAAGCCUAUAAUACCUGCAAGGAAGACAGAAAACAGAUGUGUUUCUUUCUGUCUUAUGUCCUGUAACACUGUUGAUUCCCCUACCAAGCACCGAGGGAGUUUAUUCACUUGAGGUUUCUCUAAACCAUUCUUGGAUGCUGAGAUAUGAU